AUGAUUAGAUGUGGUAUUGUUGAGGAGAAUGAAGCUAUGCUUGCACGUUUUAUGGGUGGAUUAAAUAGAGAGAUUCAGACCAUUCUAGAGUAUAAUGAGUAUACUAAUAUCACUCGUUUAUUCCAUCUUUCUUGUAAAGCUGAACGUGAAGUGCAGGAUCGACAGGCAUUGGCGCGAACUAACUUUUCUGCAGGUCGAUCUUCAUCAUGGACACCACGUGCAUCCUCUACUUCCACUCCACCAGCACCUCCAUCAGGUGCCACCUCCAGUCGUGAUACAAGAAAGCAGGCACAACCACCACUAUCUGCCAAGAGCACACCUGCCGGGCCUGCGCAGAGCUCUUCUUCUUCCAUGGCAUCAACAGGGCACACAAGUGAUAUUAUUUUUCGUCGUUGUAAGGGAAGAGGACAUUUUGUGAGAGAAUGCCAAUCUCAGCGCGUGAUGAUUGCUACUGAGGAUGGUGGGUAUGAGUCCGCUAGUGACUAUGAUGAGGAGACUUUGGCUCUUAUUACACAUGAAGAACACGAUGGAGACGAUUCUGAUCAUGAGACGCAAUACAUGGCUGCUGAAGAUGCUGACGGGUAUGACUGUUUAGUUGAUCAAUGUGUUCUGAGUGUGCAGGUUACACAAGCUGAGCAAAAUCAGAGGCAUAAUUUGUUCCAUACAAAGGGAGUUGUGAAGGAACGUUCUGUUCGCGUCAUCAUAGAUGGAGGGAGCUGCAAUAACUUGGCUAGCAUGGAGAUGGUGGAGAAGCUAUCUCUCACCGCAAUACCACAUCCACAUCCUUACUACAUCCAGUGGUUCAACAACAGCGGCGAGGUUAAGGUCACACGUACUGUUCGUGUGCACUUUAGUAUCUUUACAUAUGCUGAUUAUGUUGAUUGUGAUGUGGUACCUAUGCAAGCAUGUUCCUUAUUACUUGGUAGACCAUGGCAACUUGAUAAAAAUUCUGUACACCAUGGUAGAAACAAUCAGUAUACUGUUGUUCAUAAAGAUAAAAAUAUUACUUUUCUUCCUAUGACUCCUGAAUCCAUUUUGAAAGAUGAUAUUAAUAGAGCUAAUAAAGCAAAACAGGAGAAAAAUAAGAGUGAAAAUCAGAUUGUGGCAAAAGAAUUUGAGCAACAAAUGAAAUCUGAUAAUAAACCAUCUAGUGUUGCUUCUGAAAUUAAAUUGAAAAGUGCUUGUUUACUUGCCACGAAAUCUGAUAUUGAUGAGCUAGAUUUCAGCAAAUCUGUUUGCUAUGCUUUUGUGUGCAAAGAGGCAUUAUUUUCUUUCGAGGACGUGCCUUCCUCUUUGCCUCCUGCUGUCACUAACAUUUUGCAGGAGUUUGCUGACGUCUUUCCAGAAGACGUGCCACCGGGAUUACCACCUAUUCGAGGGAUUGAGCAUCAAAUUGACUUAAUUCCCGGUGCAUCAUUACCCAACCGUGCACCAUAA
rnacentral:rRNA from 1 species